rnacentral:lncRNA from 1 species
AAGUUCAGAUUUGGGGGAAGAAGAGAAACUUCUGGCAGCCCACCGGUCAGUCCCUCAGGGUGGUCUGUGCACAGGAUGAGGGCCCACUCAUAGGUACUGGUAGAUCACGAGCCUGCUGCCUUCGGCUCUGUGGCAGCUUGAAAGCCAACCAGUAUGACAUGGGAGACAGAGAUGAGUUUGAGGGUCUGAAAUGUGCCCUAGUUAGAAGGACAGACACUUGGGAGUCAUCUAAGUCUGCUGUUUCAUGAAUCACGAUGGCCAGACUUUCCUCAUUUCUCACGUCGCUGCAGAUCUUCCCUUUUACCCAGGAACAGUUUAGCUUCAGGACUCCUGGUCAAAAGGCCCUUCCUGUCAUUGGCCGCUCUCUACUCCCCAAAGGCCCGCAGUUCACAGGCAGUCUCUGCCCCUACCAGAGUCUCUCUCCCCAGUCUCCACACAUUGCAUGUAAGUGGGACCACCGCAGCCCUUUCCCAGCAAAGGCCUGGCCCUCAUUUGUUCUUAUAGCUGGAGUUGUAUUAAUUGUGUUUUUGCUAUGGCACAUGGUCUGGAGGAGAAGGAGCUCCCUCAGGAAAAGCUGAGGCAGCAGAGGGUCAGCUCCGAUGUUUGCUGUUUGACCGUGAGCCUUUUUCCUCCCCCUUCUCCAGAUCUCCUUGUCACACACAUCCUGCAAAUCACAGUCUUGUGGAGAUGACUCUCAUUCGUCCUCGUCUUCCUCCUCAUCAUCCUCAUCCUCGUCCUCCUCUUCCUGCCCUGGGAACUCGGGAGACUGGGAUCCUAGCUCGUUCCUGUCGGCACAUAAGCUCUCGGGCCUCUGGAAUUCCCCACAUUCCAGUGGGGCCAUGCCAGGCAGCUCUCUUGGGAGUCCUCCUACCAUCCCCGGCUUUCCCCGUCUCGGAGCACCACCAGCACUCAGACCUCACUGCUCCCCCUAACAGCCCCACCGGCCACCACCCGCAGCCAGCAUCUCUAAUCCCGUCUCACCCCAGCUCCUUUGGCUCCCCACCCCACCCACACCUGCUGCCCACCACCCCGGCAGCACCUUUCCCUGCCCAGGCUUCAGAGUGCCCUGUUGCUGCUGCCACUGCCCCCCACACUCCAGGGCCAUGUCAGAGCUCCCAUCUACCCUCCACCAGCAUGCCGCUCCUGAAGAUGCCCCCACCAUUCUCGGGGUGCAGCCACCCCUGCAGCGGGCACUGUGGUGGGCACUGCAGUGGGCCUCUCCUCCCACCCCCGAGCUCUCAGCCACUCCCUAGCACUCACAGGUAAGUGUGCUGCAUGAAGGGCAAACUCGCUACCCACUUGAACUUAGAAUUUUGGAAAAUUUGGGGUUAACUUUGAGGUGGCAAUUAAAAAGUAGACUAUGUCUUUCCUUUCAUUAUUUUUCAAUUGUAAAGAAGUAUGUGUUUUGGCCUGGCACAGUGGCUCACACCUAUACUCCUAGCGCUUUGGGAGUCCUAGGCAGGAAGAUCACUUGAGCCUAGGAGUUUGAGACCAGCCUGGGCAACAUGGCAAGACCCCCCUCUCUACAAAAAAUUUUGAAAAUUAGCCAGGCAUGGUGGCAUGCAACUGUAGUCCUAGCUACUCAGGAGGCUGAGGCAGGAGGAUUGCCUGAACCCAGGAGUUUAGGGUUGCUGUGAGCAUUGAUCAUGCCACUGCACUCCAGCCUGGGUGACAG